UGGAAAAAGUUGAUCCUGGCUCAGGACGAACGCUGGCGGCGUGCUUAACACAUGCAAGUCGAACGAUGAGGGCCCGGGCUUGCCCGGGUCUGAUUAGUGGCGAACGGGUGAGUAACACGUGAGUAACCUGCCCCUGACUUCGGGAUAACCGCGAGAAAUCGUGGCUAAUACCGGAUAUGACACCCCCUCGCAUGGUGGGGUGUGGAAAGACUGUGUCGGUUGGGGAUGGGCUCGCGGCCUAUCAGCUUGUUGGUGGGGUGAUGGCCUACCAAGGCGACGACGGGUAGCCGGCCUGAGAGGGUGACCGGCCACACUGGGACUGAGACACGGCCCAGACUCCUACGGGAGGCAGCAGUGGGGAAUAUUGCACAAUGGGCGCAAGCCUGAUGCAGCGACGCCGCGUGAGGGAUGACGGCCUUCGGGUUGUAAACCUCUUUCAGUAGGGAAGAAGCUCUUCGGGGUGACG
rnacentral:rRNA from 1 species